UACGAAGGGGGCGAGCGUUGUUCGGAAUUACUGGGCGUAAAGGGCGCGUAGGCGGCCUUCUAAGUCGAACGUGAAAUCCCCGGGCUCAACCCGGGAACUGCGUCCGAUACUGGAAGGCUUGAAUCCGGGAGAGGGAUGCGGAAUUCCAGGUGUAGCGGUGAAAUGCGUAGAUAUCUGGAGGAACACCGGUGGCGAAGGCGGCAUCCUGGACCGAUACUGACGCUGAGGAGCGAAAGCCAGGGGAGCGAACGGG
rnacentral:rRNA from 1 species